UGUAGAUUUUCGGGUUGAGUGAGUUGUGCCUCCGUUUCUGUUGCGUUUGUUUUUGUGACGCAGUUUCAUUUUUAAAACGGUUGUACGUUCUGUUCAAAGAUUCCAUAUUACUUGGACUGGGAAUUUGUGGCUGGAAGUGCCAAUUUACUCAAUUCCGACAGUUUUGAAGGGAGAGUAAAGAAUUCGUCGAAGUGAAGGAGCGAGAGAAGUCGGCAUCGUUUGGCAGUUUGAUGAAGGAUCGACCUUAUUGAGUUUUCGUUGAAGAGAAGCUGCAUUGAGAUAACUCUUGUAAAAGCGCAAUGAGUUCAUGCAAAAAGGCUCUCUCUCUAAAAGGAAUUUAAGUUUUCAGGCUGCAGAAUGAUGUCGAAAUCAUACUGUUCCAUCUCCAAGUCCUCAACGCGGAUUGAUGGGAUCUGUAGCUGUAUUAUGCACGUCUUGGUGUACCGGGUCCUAUCGACGGCUGUACAGCAGCCAACUUCCCCUACCUGGCAAAUUCCAGUUUCUGUUUUUAGAUUAGAAAUCAGGGGAGAGCGCGAACGCAGUCCCCCACUACCACAAAUUUUGCAGUCGAGUAUCCCGCAUUUGGGGACAUCGCAGGCGUCAGCACACCCGAAGUGCAAUGGGAUAGCCUCGUCCUGGGAGAACCGCCUUAAUGAUCACGGUCUCUCCCCUGCCAGGUAUUCUGGAAUGGAUUUAUUACCCAGUCUGGAAUUUGGAUGAACAGAAGAUGCUGAAAUCUCUCUAAAGUAUCAAUGCAGCUCACCCUGGUGGACGCAGUGUACCUGAAAAUCACCAUCUGAUGUGCUUUCUUUCUCUUCCAACUCAGAGGUUUGGAAAUUGGGAAGGUCGCAACAGCCUGUGUUGUUUUAUGUUAUUGAGAUACAGUGCAGAAUAAGCCCUUCCAGUCCUUCGAACCGUGUCACCCAGUAACUCCCCAUUUAACAUUAGCUGACUCAUGGGACAAUUUACAACGACCAUUACAACUGUGGACUGCAGUAGGAAACUGGAGCCAAACAACAAACCCACAAACUUACAAACUCCUUACAGGCAGUGGCAGGAAUUGAACCCAGGUCGCCUGUACUGUAUGGCGCCGUGCUCAUCACUACACUACCCUGCCGCAGACUUAAAUGGGGUUAACUUGGAAGGAAAUGUGGAGAUGGCUGUUUUGACUUUGAUAAGAUUCAAAAUCUGAAUCAAUUUAAUAUCACUGGCAUAUGUCGUGAAAUUUGUUAACUUCACAUCAUUUCCUUGCAAAUGA